UCCUUGGUGGCUUAGAGGUAAAGAAUCUGCCUGCCAUGCAGGGGACCCAGGUUCAAUCCCUGGGUCAGGAA
rfam:Ovis aries breed Texel chromosome 18, whole genome shotgun sequence.